rnacentral:lncRNA from 1 species
UUUUUUUUUUUCUUGCAACUCACUCCAAGGACUUAAUUUAAAAUCUGUAGGACUGUGUAUAUGGGAUGUCGAGACAUAAAAACGACAACAACAAAAACGGAAUUUCUUGAAUGGGUACUGAGGAUAAAGUAGAAAAUAGAUUAGAAAUUUGUUAUAGCCUUAGUGGGAGGUAAUUUAAAAUUCUGUUAAUUUGCUCCAGGUUUCAGCAUAAAAGUUUCUUUUUGCUAGUCUGAUCCUAAAUCAAUGACCUAUUCUUUCAAGUGAAUGUUUGCUAUUUUCUUGAGUUCUGGUCCCAAUUUUGCUUUCAAAUUGAAAUUCUAAGCCCAAGGUCCUAGCCUCUGAAUUUCUAUCCCCAAGGCCAUAUUUUAUUCUAAAAAAGACUUUCCAGACAUGGAUUUGUGAAUUCUUGAUUGUCAAGGAUUACUCAUCACUGACCUUCAAUGAGAAACCACAUUACUCAUACAGCUUUGCUUAUUUUGAGAUAGCCUGUCCAUUUGACAAACAAAACCUGUUAGGUUAAAGCUAGAUCAGUUUCAGAUUUUCCUUAGAAUUUUGCUAAGAUUCUGAGCAUCAAACAUUCGUCAAGGUGUCUGCUGUAGAAGCUCCUGGGUUCUUCUAGGCUUGGUGAAGCAGGAAAUUAGAACUCUGCAGUGUUGGGUUGAGUACGCCAUGAUAGAUAGGUACAAAAAGGCCUAGUGGUUCAUUCUAAGCUUUAGACCGCUUCUCGUAUUGUGGAAAAAUCUUACAGAUUUGGAUCAGAAGAGGUUUUAAAGAAUUUCUUGAAUGUCCCUGAUCUUUCCAGAGACCUCUGGUCACAGGCAUUAAAAGGCAGGAUCCAAAAGUUAGGAUGUCUAAAGUCAUAAUUCUAGCAUUGUUUGAAGCAGAAUCUGAGAGUUCAACACUCAUUUCCUCAUCUUUUUCAUUCACUGGAAAUGCACAGAUGCUGGGACAGCUGGUUUCAUUGGCAAUGAGUCUUUAUUGCUUGCAAGAGUGUACCCUGUAUGCCUGGGUCUGUGCCUUCUGAGAAUUCUGACCAUCUGCCCUUUCAGUAAAGCUUUCUACCCAACGUGCAUUAGAUUAUCUUGCUCAAGUUUAAUACACACUGAGACUGGGCCUCCAGACGUUCUGGAAAUUUAAUGCUCAGAUAUAUAAAUAACACUCAGAUAAACUGAUGCUCCGUCUCUAUGUACUUUGGUCUUAUUAUGGAAAUGUAAUCCUCAUGGAUACAAUUUGCUCCUAGAGAGAGAUAAUAUGUUUCUAUUGUUCAGAAAACUUAUUCCAUCUAGUGAUGUUUUUCUAAAAUAUAUCCACACUAAUCAUAGGGAAAUUCUCUUAUAGGCAGUUUCAUUAUGGUUCAUUUCCUAUUUUAUUCGGUGGAAUCUGUUUUAUUUUCAGAGUGAAAAUUAGAUUGUUAACAGCCCCUGGGCCAUGGGAGCUCAACUGGUUGCCAUAUAGGUUAGACAAUGAAACAUGGCUGCGUAUCCAGGAUGACCUGUACACUAGGCAUUAUCUAGCUUUUAGAACAUGUAAGCCAAUUCAGUUUUGUGGGAUAGGGUUUAUAUUUUUGGUUUUUGUCUUUGUUUGUUGGUAGAUCUGCCACUCAAGGGUAUUAAUUCAAGCGUAGAACUCAAAUUAGGAAAUGAAUUUUGGGAAUAAAUUACCAGGUUAAUCACAUGUACUGAGAAGCACAGGCUGAUGCCAAGUCACCUUCUGGAGGCUGCAUAGUAUAAUGGCUAAAAAAUAUUCUAGAAUACAACUGUUUGGGUCUAUCUCCCAUGACUACUGAUUAUUCCAAUGUAAUUUUAGGCAAAUCACUGGACUCGUGUAUUUUCAUCUGUUUAAGUGUUGAUAUUAAUGUUUUUCUUAUGUUAUACCUACGUCUGGCAGGGUGAUCAAAAAACCCAUUCCUGUGACACCUGGACUUCUGGUCACCAUGGCCUUCUCAGCUUGUGGCUAUUGCACUGGUUUUCACGACUGGGCAGAGAAGAACCAAGAUUUGUCCAGAUAAAUUAUUUAGUGCCGCAUGCAUUCUUUCUUGCUCAUGCUAUAUCAAAACAGAGAUAUAGCAUGUUCAUCACUGUACCUUGCCCAAAAGUUCUCAGGAAAUUAUCACUGAUUUGAUGAAUGAGUGCAUAAGUGUGCGGAGGUUAAAGCACUUUGGAGUAGCGAUCUCUAAAUUGGAGUAUGUACAUUCCAGGUUUUAUACAAAAUGAUUUAACGAAAUGUGGGAAGUUAAUAUAUUUAUAAUUCUAAUUAUUUUGAUUUAUAUAAAUAUGCAUAGACUCUAUGGUUUAUAAUUUACAUGACAUAUUAUUAAUCAGGAUAUAAAAAAUGCAUAACUGCAUAUAGAAAUGCAGAGUUUCUCAUAUUUUUUGUAGGUAGGGAUCUAUGACAAAAUAUUGGAGACCCUGGACCAGAGUAUUUCAGAAUGCUUGGUCAUACUUGGUAAUGCUCUUACCACAUGUUCUGUAGAAGUAAGGACAAAUAUACAGUUGAUUCUAUACACCACUAAUGCUUUUUUGAAUAAAAUAUAUUCUAUGAAAUAAAAAAAAUUAGGAUUCGUGUUGAGGCUCAGUGGGUUAGGAACUCAACAUAGUAUCUGUGAGGAUGUGAGUUUGAUUCCUGGCCUUGCCGCCAAGCAGCAUAGGCUACAAACUGGGCUCAGCUCUAGUGCUAACAGCCCGGGACCUUCCAUAUACUGCAGGUACAACCAUAAAAAGAAAAACAAACCAACAAAAAACAAUACCUUGCUGUGAAAUAAACUAUAAUUAAUAUACAUUCUGAGGAAAACCUUGUUUCCAUUUUUCUGAAAACCAAUCCAGUUUAUAUAUAUCAGUUUCCUAAUUUUAUUUAGAGCAGUUCUCAACGAUCACUGUAAAGCAACAUAUUUCAUAGUUUUUAUGUCUCUUCAAAUAUUUUCACAGUAGUUUGAUUAUUUAGGUAAAAUUCAAGAAUUUUUAUUUUACUUAUAUCUCAUAAAUGUAAUUUGUUACUUUUUAUUGUACCAGUCCUGUUGUUUCAGAUUCUCAUUAUUCAAUGUAUCUCUCUGUGUAAACCACAGUAUCUACUUCCAAAAAUAUGGGUUUUUCAGCAUUGUGGCAGAAGUUUCUAUGUUAUUUAUUUAUUAGAGCUGUGAUAAAUUCUACAGUCUUUUAAACAAAGCAGAUUGCAAGAAAAUAAAUGACUUGUACAAAGUCAUUUAUUUUGUCCUCUCUUCAUCUUUAGAUAUUCCUGUAUACCAGCCAUAGCUCUGGGGGACUAUUCUUGUUGUCUUCUGGUAGUUUGGUGUCAGGGCCAGAAUUAAACUCAAACUGGUAAAUAUGGACAUAGACAUAAUCAAAAUUACGGUUGAUUGGCAAUGCUACAAUGAUAAGCUUGGCAUCAUAAAACUAUUUGGAAUCAUUAAUGAUGCAUUCAAUGUUGCACUCAGUAUGUGGUAUUCAGAUUACCAAAAGUUGUUCUAUAAACAUGAAUACAUUUGAAAAAAUAUGUCUAAAAUUCAUGUUAAUGUACUUUUAUCUGCCUCAUUUCAAAACAGAUUUUAGAAUAAGGUCAGAGUAUAAAUUGUUUGUUUUUGCCUUUAAAGAGAAAAGAGAUGCAAAAUUGUAACAGGUAAAGCAGCAGUUGCUACAGAGAAAUAUAUGUUGUGGAGUAGAAAAACCUAAUAUCUAAACCUAGGAG